UACGUAGGGUGCAAGCGUUAAUCGGAAUUACUGGGCGUAAAGCGUGCGCAGGCGGUGAUGUAAGACAGUUGUGAAAUCCCCGGGCUCAACCUGGGAACUGCAUCUGUGACUGCAUCGCUGGAGUGCGGCAGAGGGGGAUGGAAUUCCGCGUGUAGCAGUGAAAUGCGUAGAUAUGCGGAGGAACACCGAUGGCGGAAGGCAAUCCCCUGGGCCUGCACUGACGCUCAUGCACGAAAGCGUGGGAGCAA
rnacentral:rRNA from 1 species